GACGAACGCUGGCGGCGUGCUUAACACAUGCAAGUCGAACGGAAAGGCCUCUUUCGGGGGGUACUCGAGUGGCGAACGGGUGAUUAACACGUGAGUAACCUGCCCUUGACUUUGGGAUAACUUCAGGAAACUGGGGCUAAUACCGGAUCGUAGCUCCUGCUUCAUGGUGGUGGUUGGUAAGUUUCGGCGGUUGGGGAUGGACUCGCGGCUUAUCAGCUUGUUGGUGGGGUAGUGGCUUACCAAUGCUUUGACGGGUAGCCGGCCUGAGAGGGUGACCGGCCACAUUGGGACUGAGAUACGGCCCAGACUCCUACGGGAGGCAGCAGUGGGGAAUAUUGCACAAUGGGUGGAAGACAGAUGCAGCAACGCCGUGUGCGGGAUGACGGCCUUCGGGUUGUAAAACGCUUUCGCUCAUGACGAAGCUUUGUGUGACGGUAGUGGGUAAAGAAGCACCGGCUAACUACGUG
rnacentral:rRNA from 1 species